rnacentral:rRNA from 1 species
ACGGGUGAGUAACACGUGGGUGAUCUGCCCUGCACUUCGGGAUAAGCCUGGGAAACUGGGUCCAAUACCGGAUAGGACGAUGGUUUGGAUGCCAUUGUGGAAAGUUUUUUCGGUGUGGGAUGAGCUCGCGGCCUAUCAGCUUGUUGGUGGGGUAAUGGCCUACCAAGGCGUCGACGGGUGGCCGGCCUGAGAGGGUGUACGGCCACAUUGGGACUGAGAUACGGCCCAG